rnacentral:rRNA from 1 species
UACGUAGGGACCAAGCGUUGUUCGGAUUUACUGGGCGUAAAGGGCGCGUAGGCGGCAUAUUAAGUCAGCUGUGAAAUCUCCGAGCUUAACUCGGAACUGUCAGCUGAUACUGAUGUGCUAGAGUGCAGAAGGGGCAAUCGGAAUUCUUGGUGUAGCGGUGAAAUGCGUAGAUAUCAAGAGGAACACCUGAGGUGAAGACGGGUUGCUGGGCUGACACUGACGCUGAGUGCGCGAAAGCCAGGGGAGCAAACGGGG